rnacentral:rRNA from 1 species
GAACGAUGAUCAGGAGCUUGCUCCUGUGAUUARUGGCGAACGGGUGAGUAACACGUGAGUAACCUGCCCCUGACUCUGGGAUAAGCGUUGGAAACGACGUCUAAUACUGGAUAUGAUCACUGGCCGCAUGGUCUGGUGGUGGAAAGAUUUUUUGGUUGGGGAUGGACUCSCGGCCUAUCASCUUGUUGGUGAGGUAAUGGCUCACCAAGGCGACSACGGGUAGCCGGCCUGAGAGGGUGACCGGCCACRCUGGGACUGAGACACGGCCCAGACUCCUACGGGAGGCAGCAGUGGGGAAUAUUGCACAAUGGGCGARAGCCUGAUGCAGCAACGCCGCGUGAGGGAUGACGGCCUUCKGGUUGUAAACCUCUUUUAGUAKGGAAGAAGCGAAAGUGACGGUACCUGCAGAAAAAGCACCGGCUAACUACKUGCCAKCAGCCGCGGUAAUACGUASGGUGCAAGCGUUGUCCGGAAUUAUUGGGCGUAAAGAGCUCGUASGCGGUUUGUCGCGUCUGCUGUGAAAUCCCGAGGCUCARCCUCGGGCUUGCAGUGRGUACRGGCAGACUASASUGCGGUAKGGGAGAUUGSAAUUCCUGGUGUAG